rnacentral:rRNA from 1 species
AUUGAACGCUCGCGGGAUGCUUUACACAUGCAAGUCGAACGAGGGGCGGACGGGUGAGUAGUAUAGCGGAACGUGCCAAGUAGCGGGGGAUCACUACGCGAAAGAGUGGCUAAUACCGUAUAAUAUUAGAGCGGCAGAUAUCGGCUGAGCUAGUGGGUGGGGGAAAGGCACACCAAGGACACGAGCCGUAGCUGGUUUGGGAGGACGACCAACCACACUGGAACUGCGACACGGCCCAGACCCAUACGGGAGGCAGCAGUGGGGAAUUUUGGACAAUGGGGGAAGCCCUGAUGCAGCCAUCCCGGUGGUAGGAGAGGGCCUUCGGGUUGUAAAGUACUUUUGGCGGAGAAGCGGUAUCUGCAGAAUAAGCACCGGCUAACUACGUGCCAGCAGCCGCGGUAAUUC